rnacentral:rRNA from 1 species
AUUGAACGCUGGCGGAAUGCUUUACACAUGCAAGUCGAGCGGCAGCACGGGGGCAACCCUGGUGGCGAGCGGCGAACGGGUGAGUAAUACAUCGGAACAUGCCCAGUCGUGGGGGAUAACACUUCGAAAGAAGUGCUAAUACCGCAUACGUCCUGAGGGAGAAAGCGGGGGAUCUUCGGACCUCGCGCGAUUGGAGUGGCCGAUGUCAGAUUAGCUAGUUGGUGGGGUAAAGGCCUACCAAGGCAACGAUCUGUAGCUGGUCUGAGAGGAUGACCAGCCACACUGGGACUGAGACACGGCCCAGACUCCUACGGGAGGCAGCCGUGGGGAAUUUUGGACAAUGGGGGCAACCCUGAUCCAGCCAUUCCGCGUGAGUGAAGAAGGCCUUCGGGUUGUAAAGCUCUUUCGGCAGGAACGAAACGGCGAGCUCUAACAUAGCUUGCUAAUGACGGUACCUGAAGAAGAAGCACCGGCUAACUACGUGCCAGCCGCCGCAGUAAAAC